AAGUGAAAUUGCUGAUGAGUACUUCUCCAAAGGAGUGUGCCCAUUUUCUCUCGUAUCCUCAUGUGGCACACUCACUAGGAGAGUUUCAAGGUGAAUUUAAUGGGGGACUGUAUGCAAAAAGUAGUGCAGUACUUGGGACUAGUAAGAGGGGCUAUUACUACCCCUGAAGGUUGGAAGGAUGUGGGAGAGAGGGCUCUUAGUGGAAGGAAGAGUCCCGUGGAGAGGGACUGUGGGAGUGGCUCCACAAGGAAGGAGCCAGGGAAUGAAGGCCUUGAAACACCCUGUCCCCUCUGUCUCCUACUGGGCUGACCUCUACCGUCACCAGAUGGCAGAAGGAAUCUGUUGAUGCAGCCUGACUCCUGGGGCACAGAGGAGGUAGAAAAGGGCAGAGAGCAAAACUGAAGAGACAAAUAGGAGAUAUCCACCCGCUCUCCCACCCACACUGAAAGAAAUGACUUUGUCAUUUGGCAAUAAUGGCAAAACAUGGUAAGGGUUUGUGUGUGUGUGUGUGUGUGUGUGUGUGUGUGUGGUACUGAGGAUUGAGCCCAGGAAUACUGUAUCUCUGAGCUACAUCCUAAGCUCUUUUAAAAUUGAUUUUUGAGACAGGGUCUCACUAAGUUACUCAGGCUGGCCUUAAGCUUAUGAACCCCCUGCCUCAGAUUCCCAAGUAGCUGGAAUUAUUGGCAUGUGUGUCACCAUGCUUGGUAUUUUUAAUUGGCAUUUCCUUCAUUUUUAGUGAAACUAAGCAUUUUUACAUAUUUUAUUGGCAAUUUAUAUUUUCCAUUUUUACAAACUUCCUUUAAAAAACUAAUUUGUCUUGCCAGGCACAGUGGCACAUGCCUCUAGUUCCAGCAACUCGGGAGGAUGAGGCAGGAGGAUCCCUUGAGCCCAGGAGUUAAAGGAUGGCUUGGGCAACAUAGUAAGACCCUGUCUCAAACAAACAAACAAACAACAACAACAAAAAAAACCCAACAAAUUCUGUCUCUUAUUUUUCAGUACUGGGGAUUGUACCCAGGGGUGUUCUACCAUUGAGCUAUAUCCCCUGUCCUAUAUUUUGAUCCUUUUUAAUUUUGGAUGGGGACUGGCCUUCUGCUUGCAAUCCUCCUGCCUCAGCUUCCUGAGUUGCUGGGAUUACAGAUGUGCACCACCACACCUGGUUUAGGAUUUUUAAUGUUAUAUUUGGUUCUGAGAUUUAUAUUUGAAAAUGGGAUGAGGUAUAAUCAAAUCAAUUUGUUUUCCCAAAUGGAUAUCCAGUUGUCAUAGUGACAUUUAUCGAAUGUCCCACUAUUUUCCCAUUAUCUGGAAUAACAUUUUCAUAUAUAAUAAAUCCCUAUAAGUUCAUUUCUGGAUUCUUGUUUUGUACAUGUAUUUGUAAAUUCCAGUACUGUUUUAGUUACUGAAGAUGUUGUGUCCUUUGUUACUCUUCUAUUUCUUUCCAAAGUUCCCUUUGUCAUACUGCACAAUUAUUCUUCCAAAUAAGUCUUAGAGUCAGCUUAUCGACCCUUAUGAAAAAUUCUUGUAGUAUUUUAUGGGCAUGGAGCUGUGUUUAUAUAUUCACUUUGAGCUCCUUGAUUUGUUUUUGGUAUUAUGUCUUUCACAUCCAGGAAGGUAAUAUAUGCAGUAUUUCCAUUGUGUCUCAUUGUAAAAGUUUAUAGUUUUCUUAGUAGACAUCUGGCACAUUUUUAAUAGACUAGUCCAUAGAUAUUUUACCAUUUUCGUUUGGUAUAUUUUGUUCUAUUAUUAGUUCAAUAAUAGAUUGGUUGUUGGAGAUUUCAAGAAUUUUUAUUGUGUUCAUUCACUCAUCCCUACACAGCAAGAAGGUGGCUGGUAGAAGACAGGAAGAGAGCCCUCGUUGGAGCUGCCUGUGCCAGCCCCCGCCCGAGCCAGCACCCUGGUCUUUGACUUCCAGCUUCCAGAACCGUGAGACAAUGAUUUCUAUUGUUCAGUACCAAAAAUAUUUUAGUAACAGUUUUAACCUUUCCUUUCUGUGUUUCUUAAUCUUUUACCUUCCCAAGAUAAUUUUGAAAAGCAAAGCGUUUGCCAGACUCUUUCAGUUAAGGUUCAAGAUGUAUCUGUAUCUGAUAUAUUCACUCAAGACACGGAUGGAGAAGUGAGCAAUGUCAGGAAGAAGCAAUCUGUGUGAGAAGGAUUUUUUCUGACAACCACAGUGGUGGAAGAGUACUUUAGGAGCAGAAGUGCUGUCAUCCUGUCCUGUCAUUAUCCACUGCAGGAGUGGAGGGGAGCCACGGUGUUUUUCCUUGGUCUGCUCGGAUCAUGGAGCUGCUCCUGACUGUGAGGUUCUUUUUCUACUAAAAGCAACAACAACAUCAAAGAAAGACCUCUUCUCUUCUAAUAAACAUGGGGACUAUGGAUUGUCAACAGUUGGAAGCGUUCAUCUGUGAAUAACAGAGAUGCUAAAAUAUCAAGGACUUUAGCCACUUAGAAGUUGUUUCCCUUCUCUUGCAAAAAUUGGAGGUAGGAAGUUUGGUGGUUUGUGCCAUGAAAUCUUGUACCAUGAGAACUUUAAUCUUUUUUACUUCGUUCUGCAUAAACUACCAUUUCCAAGCUCACAUCAUGGUCCAAAGGGCUGUCCCAACUCCUGACAUCCUGCAUCCAAGUCAGAAAGAAGGAAGAAGCCACCAGGGGAACAAGUGGAAGGUACUGGGCGAAAUCCUCCUGUCUCUUAAGAAGGGUCCUAGACUCUGCUAUGUGGUUAUUUGGCAUCUUAUUGGACAGAACCCAAUUUCAUGGCCAGACAUGACUGUAAGGGAGGUUGGGACCACUAGCAUUUUUUGGGGGGGUGGGGAUAGGGGGCGGACCGUGUACCUAGGUACAAGGGAGAUGACCUCGGAAUCUUAUUUGACACCCUUCUCUGGCAGUUGAGUCUCUGGCUUUCUAGGGGGAGUGCUUCUGCUCUGUGAGUUCCAGGACACCUGGCUCUCAGGGAGGCUCAUCUCUGCCCAGUAUCCUGAUGACAGACAUUAGAGUUUCACCCUUUAAAGGGGCUUCACAGGUUUUAUAUAGUCCUGUGUCUGGGGUUUGGGGACCCUGAAUGUCUCAUGGCUUUGUAAAAGUAAGGGAGGCAUUUAUUAGGAGACACUUUGUGGUAUCUAUCAUAUAAAAGUACAUGAGUCAACAUCUUAUGAGAGAUUAAGGUCUAAAGACAGCUCUUAAGGAAAAGUCAUAGUCAAAAUUACUCUUUACACAGUCGUACGUCAUCCUCUACAACCUUGUAAAUGUGUAUCAGUUGGCUAUUAUCACAUAACUGGCCACCCCAAAAUUCAGUGGCAUAAAAUAACAAUCAUUUAUUCUCACACUUCUGCAAGUUGGCUGAUUGCGGCUGACUCAGCGAGGCUUGUGGGGCUUGGCUGUAAGCUGCAGGCUGGUCAAGUCCUGCUCUGCGUGUCACUCAUCUUCUUUAGAUUAGUGAGCUAGCCAGGACAUGUUCUGUCGGAUGGCAGAAGAACCACAGUGCGAAGUCAGCCGGGCAAGCACAUUUCAAGCCUCAGCUUGUGUUACAACUGCUCAGAUCCCAUUGAGCAAAGCAAGUCACAGCCAAGCCUAAUGUCAGGGGAUGAGGAAGUCACACUGUUCUGCACUGGGCUAAGAAGACAUGAGACCAAGCCCGAUGUCCCUCAAAAUUCACCCCCCCCUUGAGGGGAAAUACAGUAAGGACUUAGCGUCUUCACUUUUGUCUGCAAAUGUUUGAUAGGUGACUAAAUGCAGGCUUCAAGACUUGGCAUUUCUGCCUCCAUUUUGCAUCUGUCUCCUUUGCUCUGAGUCACCUUAAAUUCCAGGAACCACCGGGUUGAAUAAUAAACAUCUUGAGAUGAGUGGAAGCUACCUCCAGACAACAGCAACUUCCUUAUCCUGGGCAAAGCCCUGCCUGAACAAUCCUGAGUUAAUGAUGGACCAGGCCAAGCCAACCCAAGAUUACCUGUUUUGCAGCUAUGAAAGACUUCCGGCUUUGGAAGCCCCAAACCCUCACACUCGUUCCCCUGUCUAUCAAACCUCAAAGUCAUUGUCAAUUCCUGGAAGGAAGGGUUGAGGACUUGGGCCCUCUUGUCUUCCUAGUGUAGCCACACUGAUUAAAGUUCCUUUCAUAUUUUUUUUCACCAUUAAACUCUUAUGGAAGUAGCAUGAGAUGAGUAAAAUAUUUUUAUUAAACAAUUUAAUUUGCCACAGAAUUAUGUUUUUAAAAUGAGUUCUCGGGCUCACUUUGGCAGCACAUAUACUAAAGUUGGAACCAUACAGAGAAUAUUAGCAGGUCCCUAUGCAAGGAUGAUACACAAAUUGGAGAAGCGAUCCGUAUUUUUUCAGAGAGAACUAUAAUAAAAACCUAAAAGGUUAAAAAAAAUCAGUUUUCACGUAUUAAUCAAUUGUGACCCUCAAUUCUUUCAUUUUUAAUUUGAAUAUGUCGAGCAAUUCAUCACCAUGCAUUUGCCUGGUCAGCUGAUGAUUUUGCAUUUUACUUCUUUAUUAAGGGUUUGGAACUCAUAAAAUAAUUCAUAUUUCUGUAUGAAUAGACCAAAGUUCAUUGGUUAUUGCAGCAGGAUGGCAGGC
rnacentral:lncRNA from 1 species